UACGUAGGCAGCAAGCGUUGUUCGGAAUUACUGGGCGUAAAGAGUGUGUAGGCGGUUCUGUAAGUUUGGUGUGAAAUCUCCCGGCUUAACUGGGAGGGUGCGCCGAAAACUGCAAGGCUUGAGUGCUGGAGAGGAUAGCGGAAUUCCUGGUGUAGCGGUGAAAUGCGUAGAUAUCAGGAGGAACACCGGCGGUGUAGACGGCUAUCUGGACAGCAACUGACGCUGAGACACGAAAGCGUGGGGAGCAAACAGG
rnacentral:rRNA from 1 species